UAAAUAGAUGACCCUAAAUUUUUUUAAAUUUUGAGUUCUAGGCAUAGGCUGAAUUAUAAAUCUGUCUUUAUAGUAACUUGGGUUUGAAUGCAAGCAGUAAGUCAGGUUUAAAUAAUAUACAGGAAUGAUAAAACUCUUAAUACCUUUUUCAGGGAACAUGACAAUUCUGGGAUAACUCUUUUCUCUCUGGGAAGUCUUCAAACAUCAUAAGUUUCCUGUACAAACUCCUGCAGACCACAGUGGUGGAUGUCCCUCCUGAAAUGGCACUUUCUGCUCUAUCCACACCAGAAGGCAAUUGGAACUCACGUGUGAUUCUCCAUCCUCCUUGCACUUCAUAGAGACAUCUGACCAGAGACUGCUGAUGCACAGACAGCUGGAGUAUUGCUGUCUUAUACAGAGAAGGAGUGUGGGAAUAAGUAAACAGAAGGGCCAGAAAUCCUCACUCUAGGGAAGUGUGGAACUGAUACUGGAAGACUGUCAAGUCAGAAUAUCCCUAGAAUGAUAGGACAUGAGUUCAAGCCAUACAUAAAUCCAGAUUUCAGAGGCUUGAGCUCAGGUAAGACUCUGGAUUACAUGACAUUUGUAAGAAAAGGAAAACUACAGUGAUUUCAUGUAUUCAAAACCUUUCCUCAAUCAAACUAAGACAAAUUAGUUUCA